UACGGAGGGUGCAAGCGUUGCUCGGAAUCACUGGGCGUAAAGCGCACGUAGGCGGAUUGUUAAGUCAGGGGUGAAAUCCUGGAGCUCAACUCCAGAACUGCCUUUGAUACUGAAGAUCUCGAGUCCGGGAGAGGUGAGUGGAACUGCGAGUGUAGAGGUGAAAUUCGUAGAUAUUCGCAAGAACACCAGUGGCGAAGGCGGCUCACUGGCCCGGUACUGACGCUGAGGCACGAAAGCGUGGGGAGCAAACAGG
rnacentral:rRNA from 1 species